rnacentral:rRNA from 1 species
CCUACGUGAGGCAGCAGUGAGGAAUAUUGGUCAAUGGGCUUACGCCUGAACCAGCCAAGUCGCGUGAGGGAAGACUGCCCUAUGGGUUGUAAACCUCUUUUGUCAGGGAGCAACGCCGGCUACGUGUAGCCGGACUGAGAGUAUCUGAAGAAAAAGCAUCGGCUAACUCCGUGCCAGCAGCCGCGGUGAUACGGAGGAUGCGAGCGUUAUCCGGAUUUAUCGGGUUUAAAGGGUGCGUAGGCGGAAUGCCAAGUCAGCGGUAAAAUCGCGGGGCUCAACCUCGCUCCGCCGUUGAAACUGGCGUUCUUGAGUGGGCGAGAAGUAUGCGGAAUGCGUGGUGUAGCGGUGAAAUGCAUAGAUAUCACGCAGAACUCCGAUUGCGAAGGCAGCAUACCGGCGCCCAACUGACGCUGAAGCACGAAAGCGUGGGUAUCGAACAGGAUUAGAUACCCCAGUAGUC